GACGAACGCUGGCGGCGUGCCUAAUACAUGCAAGUCGAACGGUCUUUUCUAUGGAAGCUUGCUUCCGCUGAGAAGAUAGUGGCGAACGGGUGAGUAACACGUGGGUAACCUGCCCAUAAGAGGGGGAUAACAUCCGGAAACGGGUGCUAAUACCGCAUAGGUUUCUUGGUCGCAUGAUCGAGAAAGGAAGACGGCCUUUGCGCUGUCGCUUAUGGGAUGGGACCCGCGGCGGUAUUAGGUUAGUUGGGUGAGGUAACGGGCUCACCGAAGACGAUGAUACGUAGCCGACCGUGAGAGGGUGAACGGCCACACUGGAACUGAGACACGGGUCCAGACU
rnacentral:rRNA from 1 species